rnacentral:rRNA from 1 species
GGCCAGACUCCUACGGGAGGCAGCAGUGGGGAAUAUUGCACAAUGGGGGAAACCCUGAUGCAGCGACGCCGCGUGAGCGAUGAAGUAUUUCGGUAUGUAAAGCUCUAUCAGCAGGGAAGAAGAUGACGGUACCUGACUAAGAGGCCCCGGCUAACUACGUGCCAGCAGCCGCGGUAAUACGUAGGGGGCAAGCGUUAUCCGGAUUUACUGGGUGUAAAGGGGGCGCAGACGGCGGUGCAAGCCAGGAGUGAAAGCCCGGGGCCCAACCCCGGGACUGCUCUUGGAACUGCGUGGCUGGAGUGCAGGAGGGGCAGGCGGAAUUCCUGGUGUAGCGGUGAAAUGCGUAGAUAUCAGGAGGAACACCGGUGGCGAAGGCGGCCUGCUGGACUGCAACUGACGUUGAGGCCCGAAAGCGUGGGGAGCAAACAGGAUUAGAUACCCCUGUA